rnacentral:rRNA from 1 species
AACGAACGCUGGCGGCAGGCUUAACACAUGCAAGUCGAACGCCCCGCAAGGGGAGUGGCAGACGGGUGAGUAACGCGUGGGAAUCUACCCAGAUCUUCGGAACAACUGAGGGAAACUUCAGCUAAUACCGGAUACGCCCUACGGGGGAAAGAUUUAUCGGUUCUGGAUGAGCCCGCGUUGGAUUAGCUAGUUGGUGAGGUAACGGCUCGCCAAGGCGACGAUCCAUAGCUGGUCUGAGAGGAUGAUCAGCCACACUGGGACUGAGACACGGCCCAGACGCCUACGGGAGGCAGCAGUGGGGAAUAUUGGACAAUGGGCGAAAGCCUGAUCCAGCCAUGCCGCGUGAGUGAUGAAGGCCUUAGGGUUGUAAAGCUCUUUCAGUAGGGAAGAUAAUGACGGUACCUACAGAAGAAGCCCCGGCUAACUUCGUGCCAGCCGCCGCAGUAAUAC